CUUGAUAUCGGGACAAGAACAAUGAAAGGAGAUCUUGUGAAGUUUGUGACGAAGUGUUAUGAUCCAGAGUUGUCGCAGCUUGUUAUCCCAGAUAAGGGGAAGAUCCCAGUUGAUGCAGCAAGCGUAGAAAGAAUCUGGGGUUUGCCAAGGGGGCAGAGGAAGGUUGCAUAUGAAGUGGGGCCAGACGUAGUUAGGUUGUUCAAUGAGAUGUUUGACAUCCCGACUGGGCCUGCGCCAUCAGUGACCGGGUGGUGCAAAAUGAUAAAUGAUAUGGGAGCUGUUGCGGACGACAAGUUCUUAAGUGCUUGGCUGGUUGUUGUUUAUAGCUGUUUUCUUGCACCGACGACCAGCUUGAAGGUGUCACCGCGCGCAUACUCAGCUGCGCUGAAUCCACGUGAGGUUGUGAAUUCAAAUGUUUGCCAGUUUGUUGUCGACCAACUUAGGCUUGCUUUCAUGGGUUUUGGAGACAAGAAGAAUACUAUAUGA
rnacentral:rRNA from 1 species